UGGUGGAGCGGCUGGAGAACAUGAGGAAGAACGCGAUGGGGAACGGGCUCUCCCAGUGCUUGCUCUGCGGCGAGCUGCUCGGGCUCCUGGGCAGCACGUCGGUCUUCUGUCAGGAUUGCAAAAAGAAAGUUUGCACCAAAUGUGGAAUAGAAACUCUUGGACCCCAGAAACGUCCUCUUUGGUUGUGCAAGAUCUGCAGCGAGCAGAGAGAGCUCAUUAUUAGGCUCCUGGAAGGCACAAAGGAACUGUGUUUUUAGAGAAUAUUUCUCUUUGUCUGAGCUGCCUUCCUCCCCCCUUCCUCUGGCUCACAGCAGCCUUUGUCUUGAGUAUACUCCAGAGCGCUCCUUCAUCCCAAGCUGCGUUAAAACACAAUUGGCAAGUAGAGGGUGUUCCCGCGGGUUUGGGGUACAGCGCCGAGCUCUCGGCUCGCGCCGCAGGUUUGGGUUACCGGAGCGUUGUUCUUGUUCUGGGCUUUUCAAGCACGCUUGCUAGAUGGUCCGGCCUAGCUUGAGUCGCUCUGAGAUGAGUGUCCAGGCUGUGCCGCGCAGCGUCCCGCAAGGCUGCUCCUGGUGCCCCCAGGGUACCGUUUGCACG